UUAUCUACCCUGCAAUCCAACAUGCUAUUUAUCCAAGAAACCAUGGAAUCCAUUCACUGCCAAACGUUGCCAUCGAAGUGGGGCGAAAAUUUCCAAGUGUUGACAGUAUUUCUUCUGCCAUCCGCAGCUGCGUGUUGGCGUGAGGAAAUGAAAACCGACAACGAUUAUGCAACAACGCUUUCCAUCUUCUUGCGGGGCGCCCAGCUUCCCAUUUCCCAGCGCUGUGGGUAUGAUGAUGAAGCGCUGGCAGUGGAAUAUUGUUUAAAAAAUGGCACCGACCGAGAUGGAAACUGUGUAAGCGUGCACCUGUGAUUGAAAUCGAAAUGACACCCCCGACCGCACAGCGAACAGCAAUCGAUACGGAAGUGCAGCUGUGGUUCUGCUUUCGACUUAUUAUUUUUGGCCAUUUCCCACGGCGAAUCAUUCGGAAUGGAAGUGGCAACAAUUCCGUGCCACAAAGCUUUCAAUAUAUUCAAGCGGCUCCAUUUGAAACAAAGAGAUGCGCUUUGUGU
ensembl:ncRNA lncRNA:CR46062 long non-coding RNA:CR46062